AAAUGAUCUUCCAUGUUAGGGACACUACUCAUCUGCCAUCGAUGCCAAAUCAAAGGGAACCAUCCAAAUCAACUCAAACCUCAUUCAAGUUUGGUUGUAAAGCAUGUAAAAUUAGAACACUAACAGAAGUUUGAAGAUAAAAAGUUCUAUCUUAUCUAGAAGCCAUGUAAAAGAAUCUUGUUACACAAAUUUCGCCUGGCACAAACUAUAGCUAACUUUAUAAACUUAAAAUAUCUCAACUAAACUUUGGCUUUGAUAAAACUAGUUUGCACAAAUAAGAACAAAAAUGAACCAUAGUU
rnacentral:misc_RNA from 1 species